UCCCUGAGCCCUGGGGAGGCUGGAGGGAAGCCAGUUCGGAGUCAUGUAUGAGAGGGAGAUGGGGGUCUUUUGCAGCAGCAGCGGUAGGUGAGGCAGAGAGCCUAGGUUCAUGCCCUCCUCGCGCACACGCACAGCAGCAGCCAGCAGCAAGUUGCUCUUUUCUCCCUGCUCCCAUCUCCUGGACUGCUUCAUUGCCUCUCUUCUUUGGGUCUCCUCACCCGACACAAGCAGCAGUGUUGUGAGAGAGGACAGCCCAGAAUUUCUCUGUGGGAAACAAGACUUGUGCUCAGCCGCAGCAGAUACGGAAGGCAGCAGCAGCAGCAUCCCAUAGGAGCUCACGUGUGGGGAGCGAGGGCUACGCUGGUUUGAAAGAGAAGCAUCACUCUUGGAUUGUGUGUGAAGUCUAACAAGAAAAAAAAAACAGCUGUUCAAGUCAUGCCUCAUUUCUUGGAUUGGUUUGUGCCAGUGUAUCUAAUGAUCUCCAUUCUCAUCUUGGUGGGCUUCGGAGCUUGCAUAUACUACUUUGAGCCUGGACUGCAGGAGGCCCACAAGUGGAGGACACAGAGGCCAAUCAUGGAACGAGACCUUCGGAAAACCCUGAUGAUUCGGGAUAACCUCGCCUUUGGAGUGCCUGAGGUGUAGUAAUCUGCUUACAAGGGCAUGUGGAGUGUUUUGAGAAACUAAGUCAAGCAAACCCUUUUUUGUGCAGCCAGUAGCCUGGGCUGGAUGUAUGUUUCAAUUCACUUAGGAGGAUCUUCUGAUGUACGGUGACUGGAGUGGGGUGGUGAGCUUUCACUUCAUUCUUUGCUGACCUGGGUCUGUCACCUUUUUCCUCUUCUGCAUUUCUAAAGCAAAGUGUGUGCACUACUGCUAACUCAGGAUUUACAGGGUCAACCCUAAAUGACGUGUUCAUGGUCCGUUAGUCAGCAAAGGAUCUCUUGCACCUUCCUUUGACUCAGAUUUGUGGAUCCAUGAAUGACAAAAGUUCUGUACUAUUCUUUAUUCAGUCGAGGAUCCUCUGCACCUACUCAUAACCUGUAAAAUGAAAAGUCUCUGCAGAGGGACCCAGGGGUGACAGAUCAGCUUGAGACAGGACAUGGAACCUUUUACUCCUAAAUCACUGGAUUAGAUCUAGCUCUGUUUGGCUGAGUCUGAAAGUUAUUCCCAUCUGAUGCCUCUGGUGAUUUUACAUGAAUUAAACUUGGUGGGUCUCAGCCCACUUUCUCAUGUAGAAGUGCGUUUCAGAGAAAUCACCACUGGCACUAAACUGGCAACUUUGCUGACUGUCUGGGUAGUCAGGCCAAGGGCUGACUGAGCCCUGGAGACUGAACCCCCUUCUCACUGCUAGCAGCAGUCACAGGAGGUCAGGAUUGAGACAGGGUGAGGGAAGAUCAUAUAGCUGUACGUC